rnacentral:rRNA from 1 species
AACGCUAGCUACAGGCUUAACACAUGCAAGUCGAGGGGCAGCAUGAACUUAGCUUGCUAAGUUUGAUGGCGACCGGCGCACGGGUGAGUAACGCGUAUCCAACCUUCCGUACACUCAGGAAUAGCCUUUCGAAAGAAAGAUUAAUACCUGAUGGUAUGAUGAGAUUGCAUGAAAUCAUCAUUAAAGAUUCAUCGGUGUACGAUGGGGAUGCGUUCCAUUAGAUAGUAGGCGGGGUAACGGCCCACCUAGUCAACGAUGGAUAGGGGUUCUGAGAGGAAGGUCCCCCACAUUGGAACUGAGACACGGUCCAAACUCCUACGGGAGGCAGCAGUGAGGAAUAUUGGUCAAUGGACGAGAGUCUGAACCAGCCAAGUAGCGUGAAGGAUGACUGCCAUAUGGGUUGUAAACUUCUUUUAUAAGGGAAUAAAGUGAGGGACGUGUCCCUUUUUGUAUGUACCUUAUGAAUAAGGAUCGGCUAACUCCGUGCCAGCAGCCGCGGUAAUACGGAGGAUCCAAGCGUUAUCCGGAUUUAUUGGGUUUAAAGGGAGCGUAGGUUGACAUAUAAGUCAGCUGUGAAAGUUUACGGCUCAACCGUGAAAUUGCAGUUGAUACUGUAUGUCUUGAGUGUACAAGAGGUGGGCGGAAUUCGUGGUGUAGCGGUGAAAUGCUUAGAUAUCACGAAGAACUCCGAUUG